ACUAACAAGGCCUCAGGGCUUUUUCCAUCUCUUGAACCUGGUCAGUUCUACACCUGGCACACCACGGUUGCUGUCGGAGGGGAAAGAGACAGCACUUCCCUUCUGUGCCAGAAAAUACGUUUCUCUUAAUUAGUGAGAGCUUUGUGUGUUUCCCUUGUUUUGAGAAAAUAUAAGCUCUGUGCUUUGUCGAAUACCCUUUCUCUGUGGCGGCCCUGGCAAACCACAAAGCUCUCAUCCAUUAUCUUCGUGGGAUCAAAUGUCCAGGACUUUUCAAGCUACUGAAUACUUCGGAAAGCAGCUAAGCCAUUCUGAGAUGGCUGUUAGGCUCAUCUCCUGAAGCUGCUGUAUCUAUCUGCGUGACUGUUUAUCCAUGCCUGCGAGUCAUUCUGGUAGCAGUUUUCCAUACGUGAGGGUUUUGUUUCUUUGAGAAGGGAUUUCUUGAAUCCCAGGCUGGCCUGGAACUUUCUGUGUAGCCAAGAAGGGCCUUGACCUCCUGGUCCUCCAGCCUCCACCUCCCGCCGCAGGGAUGACGGACAUGUGCUGCCAUGCCUGGCACUAUGACGUUCUCUGAUUUACCCCAGUAGGCCUGCAUUUGAACCCUUUUCUUUUUUCUUUUCUUUUUUUUUUCUCAGAACACACUCAAAACAGCACCUCACAUAUACGUAGCUACACAAGAAAUUACUCAGAGACUCUGCAAUGAUUAUGAAGAUCUCCUGGAGUGAAUAAUUAUGAGAGUUAUUUUCAAAUAAAAACUCCCCCGGAACAAGCUACCCUUGGGCCCUCAGAGCACUUAAACAAGCUAUGUCUGCACUACUCCAAGAGAAGUAGAGAGCGCUGGGGAACGGGGAAGCCCCAAGGUUGGGCCAGGCAGGGACCCUUGCUUGUUUGCCCAUUCACUCAUUCCCCGAAAGACCUGCCAGGAACAGAGCUGGUCGGUUUUUUCUGUGCUGCUCCAAGGCACGCACCCCCCUCCCACUCAGGACAUUUUUAUUUCUGUUCCAAACAGCCUCCAUCUUGUCAGGUGGUCGGCGAGUCCAUCCCUUCCGAAUUCUGGUGAACUUCCACACACUGUCCUCUAACUUCCCUCUCUAUCACAACAGCUUUGCGGUAGCAUCCUAUAGAGCUGUGAUUCUCAACCCUGUGGGUUGCCGCUCCUUUAGGGGUCGAACAACCCUUUUAGAGGAGUUACCUGAGACCAUCGGAAAACAUUUAUAUUAUGAUUUGCCACAGUAGCCAAGUUACAGCUAUAAAAUGGCAACAAAAAAUAAUUUUAUAGUCAACAUGAGGAAUGGUAUUAAAGGGUCACAGCAUUGGGAAGGUUGAGAACCACUGCCAUGGAGACCUACCUGCCUUUCUCAAUUAACCAAAUAAUAAACGCCCUGCCAUCCAUAGCAGGGGGUCAGCCAGGUAUGGGUUUGUGCUCUGGUUUGUAUCCUCAGGGAAGCCACUAGCCUCUUGCUUAUGGCCUGCCCUUAUAUCAGAACUCUCGAGGGACAUCCCUGGGCAUCACAGGAAAGCCACCAAAUGCAUAGCGUCAGGGGGAUUUGCUGUCUUGCUUUGUGUUUAGUGAAUUUAUCUCCAACAUUCUCCAAACAGCUACAGUGCGGUGUCCUGUACAAAUUCUCCCCUGUAGUUCCGUUGUCACUGGGGUGUGCUGUGUCAGUGACCAGCUCCUGCUUCGGUGAAGUGGCUGUUGCGUUUGGUGGCAAAGAACAGUGACAUCAGUCUGUCACAUUUUAUCAAAGCCAUGGCCUGUUGCUGUCUUGUCUGUUCUCUUAAAAAUAAUCCGAUACAUAAAGAUGUAAAAGUUAUAUAUUUAUGAGAUACAUGUGAUAUUUCAAUGUGCACUAUGUAAUUAAUGUUUAAGUCAGU
rnacentral:lncRNA from 1 species